UUUUUGGAAACCAAAAAAAGAAAAAAAUUACUUUCUUUUUACGCGCUUAUUUCUUAAAAAACGCGUGUUAGAAAGCUAUAAAAUACGGUACCUGGGCAUUCAUGCUCAACUGAAAGCCGAAACUUCAUCCGACUACCGGCGGCGUACUCCGGCGCCAGAGUAUGCCGCCGCCUUAGAGUACGAAUCAAAACUCUGAGCCCUAAGUUAAUUUUCUCCAUGUAUCUGUUUUGUGACAAUGUCAGAUUUUCUUUGAAUUCUUGCCUGCAUUCUUUUUAAGAAAAAAUCAAGAACUCAUGGAUCUUUUUGAAGUUAUUCUUAAUGCAUAUUUUCAGGAAAUAAUGAAAUUGUCAUUUUCAAGAAUAUAUUGACAUUGCAAAUAUCAAGAAAUUCAAGAAAAUGCCUGAGGCUGUUUAUCAGAAGAGUUGUUGACGAGUUGGUUUCCAACAGCCGCAUGUACCACCUAGGAAUUGAAUGUUGUGAAGUCUAUACUCAACACAACUUUUAAAGAUAGUGUAUUGAUGUUCUUGAUGCUGACAGCAUCUUUUCUAUUGUGCUGAUGCUGAUUUUCUAUGAUGUUCGGAAUGGUCGUUGUAGUCAUAGGAUUGCAUGCAUUACUCAACUGAUAGGCGGUUUGUGUUCAUUAGUGUCUUUUUACAAAUGUUCUUAUAUUUUUUAUUUUAUGGCUUUACUUGUAACUGGGAAAACUGGUAUGUUGAUCACUAGAUGUUUUGGUUAUUUGUUCUAGCUGAAGUUGAGUUGAAAUUUGUUCACAAGAAAAAUUUAUGUUUUUCAGAAAAAAUAAAGCCCUACCUAAAAAUUUAGGUUGAUCUUCAUUCAUCGGCUCUGGAGGUUGCAAACGCAGCUUUGACCUAUCAAAUAUGCUUACACUGUUGAUCUUUGGCAUUAUUCGACUGCAGACCAUGCACUAGAUCAAAUUUGAGAAUUCUGCACUUUUUAGGGUUACUGAAUUUUGUUUCAACUGAUUACAUUGUCUGAUUCUGUAGACAUUUUGCUAGGUACCGGAUAGGAAGCUAUUGACUUCAAUGCCAUGUUAUUUGUUAAAAGUGCUGGUCACCACUUAUUCGGAAUUUCUACUUUGUGUACCAUAUGUAGGUUAAGAGAGGAGUGGUUUGACUUAUCGCUAUGUGAAAAAAAAAAAGGUCAGGUGGGUAAGGUGUGGUUCUCCUCUUUAUUGAGUAUACAGUCGCGAUUCUCUAGACUUAAAGUAAUUCUGCCGGUGAGAGCAAUUGCAGUAUCAACAUUUAUCACUUUCUUUUCUCUCAAGCUACUUUUGGAAAACCUAGAUAAGAAUAUAGUUAUUGAAGUAUCCUCCUCAUCUGUUGCUAUUCCAUUCCCUGCUCCUCUUUGCAGAUAUACCUGUGAAUUAAGAGAUAUACCUGAGCUACACUGGAUCUCCUUCCAUGCAGCCAAAGAAACUGAUUGGACUGUGCACUGUCAGGAGAGAGAUUGGAUCUUUGCAGAAUAUUUUGUGAGGAAGUGCUCCUGAAAAGUGUGAUCCCUGAGUCCGGAUUCCUCAGUCAGAUAGAAAGUUCAAGUCGGUCUCUUGCUUAUCGCACAGUUGGUGUAAACUGGAAAUUCAGAAGUCUGCGGCAACCCCUUCAAUCUAAUGUUUUACCUACAGAGGAUAAUUUAUUGGAUAGCAGCUUUCUGGUUAAUAAAUUCAAUGCUUCAGCUAUAAAUCAGACUUCCUGUUAGGUUGAAGGAUGAGUCUGAGACAAUUGUAGCUGCCGGAUCAACAAAGUACUGUCCCCUUUAGGAAGUGUCUUGAACUUGAUGACAGUUCAAAUGUGAUGCAUAAGAGAAGGAAACAAUUUGUGCAGAGCUGUUCUUUGCACAAAAGGCUGGUACAUGAUGGACCGUCUUUUGAUAGUGGUAAAUUUUUAUUUUUUUUUGGAAACUGGUAACUAUAAUGGUGAAAUUUUUAUGCUUGUUCUAAAGAGGAUAUGCGCAGUAUAGAAGGACUGGAUCCAUGAGAUGUUUAUCGUUCAGGUGCUUCUGAGUUGUGUUAUGAUUGAGAUGAUCUGUUACAUGUACAUUCUCAUGAUAAAAAAAAUCUCAGGAGAUGGAUCAUCAAAAAAAUCUUAAGAAUUAUUUGAUACCAAGAGCUAUGAUCUCCUCUAGUGUGGAUGCGGACUCGUAUAAAUGGAUUGAUGCUAGAAAUCGAGGUAAGACAGAUGAGCUUAGAAGUAAGAAGUGUAUAAGAAGUCAUUCAGCUGCCCUGCCAUUUUGCCACAAGUGAGUCUACAAGAAAAGCAGCAGGAAAUAAAAAUAUUAAGGCAAGAAGAAGUUUAUGAUGUACCACUCAUGCCAGAAACUAGAACUGUAAGGAGAUUGCAUCAUUCUGCAGAAGCUAUCUGCUCUGAGCUUCCACAGCAGUCAUCCCAUCAAUGUGAUCAAUCUUCCACCCCAAGUUGUGGUGACAGUGUAUUCUCUCCUGUAAGGUAAUGUACUAAUGUUAUCAAAUUUCUUGGGAGGGUUGGGUUUCUUUCUGAUAUUAUCUCAAACAAAUAUGUUAGUAACUCACACGACCUGAUGUGUUCUCUCUUUCAGUUAAUUAGAUUCAUUUGUUUUACCCACUUUUCAAGAUUACCUUGACUGCAUUCUUAUUAGUCAUGAAAGCAUUAGAGAUUAUGAUGUGUCUUUCUAAGUCUCCUAUUCCAGGGUCUCUUUCAUAUUCCAUCUUGCUUAUGUUGUGAUCUUGUAAUAGAACUGUCAUGCUUGACAUUUUUUAUUCAACUUUUCAGAAUUUGCACCAACAAAAAGUCAAGGUUUCUUGGAUUUUUGGACAAAAUGGAGGGACCUCCAUCCAUAGAUUACAGUUGAAUAGUUAAACUAUAUCUCAGAUGUUUUUGUAACUUCUUCUCUAUUCUGCUAAAAUGAUGGAUUUUUACCUUUUCCAAUAUGAGAUGCAGAGUGGUACUGGAACAGAGAGUCUACCAUUGAUAAAACCUGCCUAGACGGUGCCAAAGUUCUCCAACUGGUGGAUAAGAAGUUCAGAUUUGGUUAACAUUUACUAUUAUCUGUAGACCAUGUUCACAGGGUUCAAAAGCGCAUAUGGGUGGUAGCAUGCGUCUUGGAUCAAGAAGAACGUAUUUUCAAGUCAAAGAUUCUAAAUUUGGUAGUUGUUUCUUAAACUCAUGGGAGGCUGAAUGGACGUAAGGUUUUGAAGGACGGCAUUUGAAGGUUGACAAGUGUUUGUACCUUGGAAUUGAUGAUUGUAGACAAAAUCUUGGUAUAACAGUGUGUUAGAAUCCACAUUGUUUGGAGAACGAAAAUCCACAAACUCUGCGCACCCCCUUACAUCUAAUGCUUUACCUACAGAGGAUGAUUUACUGGAUAACAAAUUCAGUGCUUCAGCUAGAUCCAGUUAUAAAUCAGACUCCUGUUAGGUUCUGGAUUAGAGGAGUCUUAAACAAUUGUAGCUGGCAGAUCAACAGAGGAUACCUCAUUUUGGGGAGUCUCUUGAACUUCAUAAGAUUCAAAUGUGAUGCAUGUGAGAAGGAAAGCAUUUAUGUGGAGCUGUUCUUUGCACAGAAGCCUGAUACGAUCAUCUUAUGGAUUUCUUUAAACAGAUUGCUGAAAAAUAUGGUUCUGGCCUGCCAUCUUUUAGUUGAGACUGUCUCCUCUGCCCCAUAUCCUGAGUUUGCUAUUGUGAAGUCUAACUCUGAGCAUGAAGUUAAUAUGUUUUGGUUUGGUUAAAGCAGGACUUGAUUCUGAUUCACAAGCUGACAACAUCUGUCACACUUCUUGCGGUAACAUUCUCUAAUACUUGUCUUUGUCAUAUUAUACACUCAAGAAGUUAAGUACAUGUAAACCAUUUGCAAAUCAGUUCUAGAAGUGAAAGGUGUUGUAGUUGUUAAUACAGGAUCAGUUGCUCACUUACAUUCUCAAACCUUUUACGACACUUUAUUGCUUAUUCUCUUCAACAUUCAUAUUCCUCCCUCUUAAUGAUAUAUGCCUGUCUACAUGUGGAAAACAACUCCUGACGAGCACUUCUUCUCAGGUUUCUUGCUCCAUUCUGAGGUAUCAAUAACAGUUUAUAUCAGUUAUGUGCUGCAUCUUGUUGAAAGCAAGAAGGAUUUUUGAGGGUUUAAGCCUUUCAAGUGUCAUUUGUGGCGCAUUGUCUCUUAAGGUUCGAAUUCCCGUAACGGAUGAGUAUUUACAGGCAAAAAUCUCUUUAUAGUAGAUAGUCCCUGCAUAGCGUAACUCGAUUAUUAUUCCCCGCGUUAGGAUCCCUACAUUAUUAUUUAUCACAUAGCAGUUUUUACAUUAUUAUCACCGCAUCAACAUUCCCUGCAUGACGAAUACUUUAACCAAAUAAUGUCUUUCUCUUCUUUAUUGCAAUUUUGUGAUAUUUCUGAAGAAAUGGAGAGUGUCAUAGGGUGCUUUAUCUUUUCUUCCAUCACAUUGUGAUCGUCUGGGAGUGUAUAUUCUUAUGUAGUAACUGAGGCCCAUGACAAAAUGAACGUGAGUCCCUUUUUACAUAGUCAAUGAUUAUUAUCUUUGAACAUUACACUAAUUGUCAUGUUGUACAGAAUGCUGCAGAUGAGUGAAUUCAUUCGUUUUGCAGAACUGCUUGAGUAGGUAAUGAUUGCCUAAUAACUCAUUGAUGUGUCAUUUCAAUGUAGUGUGUGUAACUUCGUGAAUUAUUAGGUCCUAUCUGGACAAAAGUGGACAACAACCUAUCUUGAUUUUGAGCAAGAUUCAGUACGUUUAUGAUCAUCUAAUUUCUUUUCCUUGUGCUGCUUGGCUUGUGAGGGGGAGACUUAAAACUCUUAUAUAGGGAAAAAAUAUUAUUGAAUUGUUGUUGUGUCUACAUUAUUACUUUGAGAACCUUUUUAUAGACCCAAGAAUACAAUCCUUUACCUAGUAGGAUACUAUUUAGUAUUCCUAUUCCUUUUCUAAUAGGAUUGUAUAAACAUAUUCCUAUUCUAAUACGAUUGUAUAAAUCUAUUUCUAUUCCAAUAUGAUUGUAUAAACCUAUUCCUAUUCUAACACUCCCCCUCAGCAAUUCAUGUACCUAGCUUGUUACAAAUGUAAUUAACACGAGGACCGAUGAGAGGCCUGAUGAGAUAUCCACAAGUUGAUCAGUCGACUUCACAAAAUUGACAGUCAAUCUCAAUGUGAGAUGUGCUUGUCUUCUCAUUAAAUACUGGAUUUGAUGCAUAAUGUUAGUAAAGACAGAUAAAAUUUCAGUGUUGAACCACACCUGCAAAGACUGCUUCAAACCAUAGAAUGCCUCACAUAAUCGACAUAUAAGACUACUAAACUCCCCCGUGCAACAAAGUGCUCAAAACCUAGUAUAAAGUAUAUGGAUCAUGUUGUAAUCAAUAAAUGGGUUGAUAUUAAACAAGUCAACCAAAAAAAUUGGCCGAAACAUGCUCAUAUGCCGGAGUAUGAGAUUUGGUGUCUAAAAGUGGUCACAAUGUAAGAAACAAAAUUAUAUGGGUAGGGUCGGAAUGAUGUCAUGACCCAACUAGAAAAUAGAAAUUAUAUAGGAUAGUUCGAAUUGAUGGAACGAUCCCAUUGAAAAAGAGAAAUAAUAUGGGUAGGGUCGGAAUGUGGCACAACACUACUGAAAAAGAGAAAUUAUGUGAGUAAUGAAAAAGAGAAAUUAUGUUGGUAGGACUGGAAUGAUGGUUCAUAUCUACGCAAAUCAAAUUUGAAGAGUCACUGGAAAGACGAAUGGGACUACGCAAAUCAAAUCUGAGGAGUCACCGAAAAGACACACGGUGCUAUGCAACUCAAAUAUGAGAAAGUAGUUCGGAAAAAGAUUCACGGUACAACACAAAGUAAAUAUGAAAAGUAAUUCAGAUAGAUGCACGGUGCUACACAGAUAAGACAUGCAAAAGAAAGAGUCACCAGAAGGAUGUCAUGGUUAGACAAAAAUUUAAUAUGAAAACUUAUUCACCGGAAUGAUAGGACGGUGCUACACAAAUUAAAUAUAAAAAAGUAGUUAUCAGAAUGAUGACACGUUGCUACACAAAUUAAUUAUGAAAAAGUAGUCACCAGAAUGAUGGCACAUUUGCUACAUAAAAUUAGUAGUCACCGGAGUGAUGGCGCGGUGCUACACAAAUUAGCUAUGAGAAAAUAGUCACCAGAAAGAUUCACAAUGACCCAACUUUUUCUAACAUAAUCAUUGGCUGGACGGGCGGCAUAUAUGAAUAAUAGCCGCCCGCCGGCCGCGGAAGCUCUUUGAUUUUCUACGAAGAUCAUAGAGGCUCUCAUACCAUGUGAGAAAUAUAGGAAAAGAAUAUUAUUGAAUUGUUAUUAUGUCUACAUUAUUACAUUCAGACCCUUUUUAUAGACCCUAAAAUACAAUCCUUUACCAAGCAGGAUAUUAAUUAGUAUUUCUAUUCCUAUUCUAAUGGGAUUGUAUAAACAUAUUCCUAUUCUAAUAGGAUUGUAUAAACAUAUUCCUAUUCUAAUUGGAUUGUAUAAACAUAUUCCUAUUCUAAUAGGAUUAUAUAAACCUAUUUCUAUUCCAUUAGGAUUGUAUAAACCUAUUCAAGUGCCAUGUCAUGUUAAUGUCUUUGCAACCGACAGCUUGCUGAUGCAGAUGGAUCAUAAACAGUACCCUGUCAGCGAAUCAGGUCUUGAAAAAACAAGGUUUGCAGGAAUAAGUUACUUUUUAAUAUAUGAAUCUGGAGCUACCUUGAUGCUCUCGCCUCCAUCCCCACCCCUACAUAUGAUAAACAAAAAGAACAGGGAAUUAAAACCAAAAGUGAUUUAAGAUAAUUUUCUUUAUUCCUGUUCGCUUUGUGUUCAUUUGUGUUGGAACAAUAACUCCUAAAUGGAUAGAGUGGAACAGAUACAGAGGAAUGAAGAUCAAUAUGUCAGGCUAACUAAUUUUGGUGAAGCAUAAUUGAUGGAUUGAUUCCUGAUAUUGUCAUUCCAUUUAUUUAUAUAUUUUCGUAGGUGCAAUUAUGUAUGCUGAUGCAUUGUUGUCUUCUGAAUGUUCCUCAUUGUUGAGGAGUUGAAGCAGAUUCCAUUGUGUUUUCAAGUGAGAUGAAAAUUGCAUUUAAGGAAAUAUCUGCGUUGGAACUGCAUUUGAUGGUAUGUUUAGGAGAACAUUGCGUAUUAUUAAUGACAUCUUUUCUUUUGUUAGUGUGCUCACGGGUGACUAAUUACUGUCCCUCUUGUCAACUUGGGUGCUCUGCAUGAGAAAAUUUCCAUGUUAAGUUCGUGGAGUAGGAUUUCCUCUGAGGAUAUUUCCUGUCUAGUUUACUUCUAAAGCCGUACUCAUCUGAUUGAUCUUUUAGUUUGAUUAUAUAUUGUUGAAGUCCAAAUCGGGUCUUUCAUUUCCCGGAAGAGUCUCAACAAAGAAUCUCCCUUGCACAUCCCAGUGUCUCCUUCAAAAUUAUUGAUAUUGAAAGGGGUUCGCCGUUCACCGUUGAUACACCGGCUAACUCAAGGAUAUUUCCUGUUUGGUUUCUUAGAUUUUGUUCAUUUGCUUGCAGUGAGGAUGACCUGCCUUUGCACACGUGCUUUUUCUUCUCUUUGCCGCUGUUGUCUAAUGGUUGGGAUUCAUCGAGCUCCCUUAAUAAAUUGAAUGCAAGCUUUCAGGAUAAAGAGACGUGAUAAGUUAUCUUUUCUACAAUUUGUUUCUUUAAAAACCACUGUUUAACUUGCAGGUCCUUCAGUAUUUCAGUAUAUCCUGACAAAGAAAAACGGGAAACUAAUCUUUGGUUAACAUUUACUAAAUUGGAUGCUUUCCUUUUAUGGUGUGUUUGUUUUCCUUGACCUUCGUAAUGCAGGUUUCAAUUCAAGAUUUGUUUCUUAAGAAUCAAUACAAAAAUUACUUAAUAACAUAGCUACGAGUUCUGACAGUGUUUCUGACAUUGAGCAGCAAAGUAGAUCUCAGAUAUAUUCACUGUUCUUGUUGAACCUAAACUGCCCAAGAUAAGUUUUAUAUGAUUUGACUUUUCGGCCUUCUAAGAACUCUGUGGAACAUAGCUGUGAUUUUUGUUGGCAUUUAUGACUUAGUCUCCUGUUUUUUGCUUACCCAAUUAUUUCUGCUUCCAUUAAGAUGAAAUUUGCAGUUUUUUUUUUUUACGAAUCUACUUCAAUUUUUGUAAAUCUAGACAUUUGCUGCAUCAAUCAUCUUGGGAGCCUUGCUAUCUUUCUGAGAUAGUGACAUUCAGCUGUACUAUGAUUUUUAAGUAGGGUCAGGGUAGAGGGGUCGCUCAUAUUUUCAGGAGUUUGAAAUUUGCAGGUCAAUCUCAGUCGUUUAAUUCAAAUGAAAAUUUUCUGUUAUUCAGGAAAAGUAGAAUCCUACCAAAAGAUUUAGGUUGAUCUUCAUUCUUCAGCUAUGGAGGUUGGAAAUGCAGCUUUGACACUGUUGAUCUUUGUAUUAUUCUAGAGAGUAGAGACUCAAGAGCUUUCGAGGAUACUUUUUUAUGUACUCUUUGUUUCAAAAGGUAUCAACUUACCUCCUUCAGGUUAGAGAUACUGUGUUAGUAUCUUUUCUGUUCUUUGAAGAAUUAAAAGAGUGAAAUAUAUAUUAAUGAUGAUUUUCUUUGAUGAGUGGAGGAAGUUGGAGCACAUGUAAGUGGAGGACUGCGUUUGGUUCCUCUUAAUAUUCGACGACCAUGCUCUAGAUUAAACUUGAGAACGUUUGCACUUUUUAGGAUUACUGAAAUUUGUUUCACUGGUUACAUUGUCUGAUUUUGUAGACAUUUUGCUAUGAGUUGGAUAGGAAGCUAUUGACUUCAAUGCCAUGUCUUUGUGAAAAUCUCUGGUCAUUAUACUCUGUAUUUCUUCUUCAUUUAUCAUAUGUAAGUUAUGAGAGG